UGAUGGGUGCUUUAGUUCUAGGAAGC
rnacentral:misc_RNA from 1 species